AAAGCUUUUAAAGCAACCAAAACUUCGGUAAGCGUCUUUAGAGACAGUGAGAGCUAUGUCAAGAGAGAUUGAGCUUCCAGGUUUCAGAUUCCACCCGACCGAGGAGGAGCUUACUGAUUACUACCUCAAGAACAUGGUUAACGGGAAAUUCUCCAAAGUCGAAGUCAUUGGUUUCCUCAACAUCUAUCGCCAUGAUCCAUGGGACUUGCCACGUAUGUACCAGUAUACUUGCUUUCUUCAUUCAUAUAAAAAUCUUAUUUAUUAAUAAAAAUCUGAAUUGUGAUCACAGUUUUAUCGAAAAUUGGUGAGAGAGAAUGGUAUUUCUUUGUGCCAAGGGAAAGGAAGCAUGGGAACGGAGGGAGACCAAGCAGGACAACUGAGAAAGGAUAUUGGAAAGCAACUGGUUCCGACCGUAAGAUCAUAAGCUUGUCUGAGCCAAAACGUGUGAUUGGGCUCAAGAAGACCCUUGUGUUCUACAGAGGUAGAGCACCAGGUGGAAGCAAGACUGAUUGGGUCAUGAACGAGUACCGUAUGCCUGACAAUUGCACCUUACCAAAGGUACCUUAAAAAAACAAAAGCUCUGUUAUCAAGAAACAACUCUUUUUCUCAUCUUGUGUUCUUGUUUGGUCGCAGGACGUUGUGCUGUGUAAGAUAUACAGAAAAGCCACUUCACUUAAAGUGUUGGAGCAAAGAGCAGAGAUGGAAUCUAAGAUGACUCAAACAUGCCCAAACUCUCCUCUCUCGUCUUCGGAGACCAUUUCUUACGUUGGAAAAGAAGAAAACUUGAUGACGACUUCGUUCCCUUUUCCUCAAGCAUCAGCCAUGCAAGAAGCAAACAACAACUUCAUGCUUCAAGGACAUGAAGAGAAACAAAGAGAAGCAGAGACGAAGGAGUCUUCUUCAUCACUGAAGCUACCAUGUGGAGUCUUGCCAUUACCAGAGCUGCAAUUACCUAAACAAGGAUUAGAAUGGGGACAAGACCAGUUCUUGAGUAUAAGCCCAUGGCUCCAGAAUCUUACCCCAAUUGUUAACCUACUAAAUUUUUAGGAUAUGUAAAAAAAAAAAAACUCCCAACAGAACUAACUAUUCUUCAGUGAUACCUACCCUCCUUCACCUGAGCAAAAAAAAAAAAAAAACCGACCUUCAUCUUCAUUUAGUACUCCAUAGAAAUUUACGUACAUUUACUGAAACAUGCAUAGUAAAGAAAAUAAAUUAAAUCCAAUUUUGUAGUAAGGUGUUUGACAGUUGAAACUUUGAUCAUGAACUUUUCAAGUUAUCUAUUCUUCCAUUUUUCUUUUGUUUUAGAUACUUAACAAAAAUUUCUUGACCACAUAGCCGUAAGUUUUUGAGGUGUUCUGGAUAAUUAGACCGGAAUAGAAAAACUAACGAAACAAUGAAGUCUAUGAAAAACACCCAAAACAGUUAGUUAAGACUAAAAUAUAUACUAUUUUUCUGAAACGGAUGGAAUAUCACUUUAUAUUACCUUAAAAUAAUAGUAUGUAAUUUACAAAGUUAUAUUAUCAAAGGAAAAAAAAGUUUAUUCAUCUUUAAUGCGCUUUUGUCAUAUUGGUUUAUGUUAAUUAGCACUUAGAAGAAGAAGAAAAAUAGAGUUCAAGGUUCUGUCCCACAGAGGAAAAAGACUUCCCGUCUUUUAGAGGAGACUUCGAAAGUCAAGCCUCAGAUUAAACUAAAUGGUGGAAGUCCCACGAUCAAAAUACACUGAUUCUUUUGGGGCACCAAAGCUUCUGGUCCAAAACCUCAAGACCCUUUCUACGAUAAAAGCGCGUGGGCUCCAUUCACUUUGAUCAAGACCUUUCUCUUUCUCAGUAAACAUCACAAACGUCUAAAAGUAUGGACAUUAAGAAGAAACUACUAACACAUUAGAAAAUUGCAAACAUGACUUUCAAAAUUUAAUAUGUUAAAUCCUGCCUCCACAUCUUCCUCUUGACUUGGUCUGCUCCAAUAAAACAUAGCCCCAUGGCCCUCAUCAGACAAAGAAUCUCUCUCAUCACAUAAGGUCUUAGUGUUAUAUAUAAAUAAGCGUUGCACCAUUAGUGAUAUCACCAACAACCUUUUCACUUACAAAGCUUUUAAAGCAACCAAAACUUCGGUAAGCGUCUUUAGAGACAGUGAGAGCUAUGUCAAGAGAGAUUGAGCUUCCAGGUUUCAGAUUCCACCCGACCGAGGAGGAGCUUACUGAUUACUACCUCAAGAACAUGGUUAACGGGAAAUUCUCCAAAGUCGAAGUCAUUGGUUUCCUCAACAUCUAUCGCCAUGAUCCAUGGGACUUGCCACGUAUGUACCAGUAUACUUGCUUUCUUCAUUCAUAUAAAAAUCUUAUUUAUUAAUAAAAA
rnacentral:lncRNA from 1 species